GGCCUUGUUUUGUUCUGUUUUAAAUGAAGCAGGAGGGACUAAGGUUAGAUCUAAGGACAGCUGUCUUGAGGAAAUGUUAUAUAUAGCAGCAAAGAUCUGAUUGGGGAGAACCUGCGCUUUCUGCAAAGCCUUAAAAGUCUGCCUCCUGUCUGGGUGUGGCAGUACACAUCUGUGACCUCAGCACCAGGGUGGUGAAGAAGACAAUCAUGGGACUGAGGCCCACCUGGGCUUCCUAGAAAAUCAUAGACGAGUUUCGGAAGCUGUGAAACCCACAGUCAAGAUGUCAGCAGUCAGUCCAGAGAGUCUCCUUUCUGGUUCUCGGAUGGCACCUUCUUGCUAUGUCUGUCAGAAGAGCCUGAGGAGCCCAGAGGACAGAUAGGGCAAAUUCAUGUACACAUCCAUUUUGAGGGGACGUCACUUGGGGAUGCUACCUGUUUGAGGAUGAAGACUCUAGCACGUGGCCCGGCAGGGAAGCAGCAGCGGAAGUUGGGGAAGAACAUACUGAAAUCUGCCCUGCAGCCCUGGCCUCAACCCUGCAUGCUGUAACCCUUGAGUAAGGGGGUGAAGAGAGAUGCAGUCGGAGGCCACUGGCUUUUGAGUCCGGUGACAGUAUUCAGGAAGUGGCCGUACACAGCCAGCUCGACAGCAAGUCCCUGCUCCGUGUCUCAGGUCACAGAAUGCAGGAAGUGCAGGGCUCUGCCACUCAUGUGCCAGCUCCUCACUCCUGUUUCCUUGUGUGGAAACAAAAGCUCUUCCAUCAGACAUCCUCAGAGGCCAUUCCCAGAUAUAAAACUCAAAGGUUCUGAAAACAUUAUAAUGUUUCCAACUGAAAACAUUAUAAUGCAACAAAAUCCAUUUACAUUUCCUACAGAGAAAUCAGAAAUGAAGAAAUAAAGGUAAAUUAGAAAUGAAAAAAUAUUAAGUCUCCAAUCACAUUCCUGAGAAGUAAACAUUAUUUACAGACUUGUGUUAUGGUCCUACAGACUUUCAAACUAUGCAUACAUCACUUAUAUUGUCUAUGAAUGAAAUAAUGUUGCUGUGUGUGGAAAAUAUGUGUGAGCUCCAGGUAGCAAAUCUAACGUUGUGUUAAACUGAUAGAAUCAUGAGCUGAUGAGUGAGACGGAGCAUCUGGAAUUGCACCAAGUCUGUCCCGUGUGCUUGCAUUCGACUGUGAGGAGCCUCUGAGCACAGGCUGGUGGAGGCCUUGUCAUGCUGGACACCAAACUGCUUAGGGUAAGGUUGAGCAGAAGAAGCUAGGGACAGGCUCAUGCAAAGCUGUCCAAGAAGGGAAACCCGGUAGUGUGGGUGGCUGCAGCAGUUAAGGAAUGUGGCCAUGAACCUUGGGAUGCCGUGGAAGAGUCCUUAGGAGGCAAUGAAUAAACACAUGAAAGCUUUGGUUCGUUUUUAAAGAAUUAUUUUAGAAAUUAAUGUGUACCUGUGUUUGUGUGUCUGGAUGCGGGCAUCCACACGUGAAUGCGGGCAUCCACUGAACUCAGAGGUGCUGGAGCCCCCUGGAGCUGUAGGUACCGAUGCUCAUGAACCACCAUCAUGAGUACUGGGAACUGAACUCCUAAUCCGCUGACCCAUGUCUCUAGCCCAGCUUUGGCUCAUUUAAAACAAACCAACAUAUACUUCCGGAAAGGUUAUAUCAGAUGUAUAGCAUGGCCGUAUGCUCACUUCGUGUUGCAUCCUACGUUGUCACUUACUUAGAGGUUGGCCAAAGGCUUUCAUUACUGUUCUGAAAAAUGUUUUGUACUUCCUUGUCUCAUAAAUGAUGCUGUGAUAAACAUCCUGAAAAUUCCUUUUUCACAUACGUAUUAAUACAUAAUUCCUAACAUGGUUUUUAGCAUCUGAACUCAAGUUCUGUGAUUGUCUUGCCCCUCCCACCAGAUGGGGAAGAGCUUGUGAGAUACUCCCCAAUUCUGAGCACUCUGGAACCUCCCUGAACUGGGGGAGUACAGCCUUGGGCAGAGGCUGUUGUCAAGGAGGAGGCAGGCCAUUGUGUUGCUUGGAAAUCAGAAUGGUCUCUGAUCGCAAUCGCUGCUCAGUUAUUCCCCGAGGAAAGAAUGAAGGGUUCUCCUUCACUGACUCUUGGAAUGCCUCCUCAUUACCUUGCUCGUUAGGACAGGGGAAGAAUAAAAAUUGAGGUCUCCUAAGCAGGUGCCUGCCAGAUCCUCGAGAUGAUAUGCAACAGCUUUGCGUUCCUGCAUGACUAAGAAAGAAAACGUGGGAAGAGAUGGGGCCAGUGAGUUCUGAGAACUGAGCUCACCCGUGUGAGUGCCAGAAGGCAGAUGGAGUCUGUCUGUACCCAUUUCACAGAUGGGUGCCCUCGAGACCCAAAGGUCCCAUUCUAACAAAAGAGCUGCAGACAUAUCAUUUGCUCACGACCGGACAUUUCCCCUUAUGGCUUCAUCUGCAUCUGCGGAGUCAGCGUCUCAGAAUGUCCACUAUAAACUAUAAAAUAUUAUAUGUCUACGUGAGAGGUGACUAUAGCUUAUAAAACUAAACUGCAACAGAAGUUAAAGGGAAAGCUGCAGAAGGCUAACUUGUCAUUCUGUUUUCCUAAAGGAAUACUAAGGAAAAUCAAGAACAAAUACUGAACUCUGCAAUGUGAUCUCAGUGCUUCUGGGAUGUUCACUUAAACUCUCGAGAAACUCAGACUAUCUAUCACCCAGUCCUAUCAAUAAAAAGUGAGUGAGGAUAAUUUCA